rnacentral:rRNA from 1 species
GUAGUCUCGCACAGAUGCAUAUCAAUAAGCGGAGGAAAAGAAACUAACAAGGAUUCCCCUAGUAACGGCGAGUGAAGCGGGAAGAGCUCAAAUUUGAAAUCUUAAAGGGUUUCCCUUUACGAAUUGUAGUUUAAAGAAGUGUUUUCUGUUGAGGUUUUGGUAAAAGUUCUUUGGAAUAGGACAUCAUAGAGGGUGAGAAUCCCGUAUUUGACCUUUACUUUCAACUUUGUGAUACACUUUCAAAGAGUCGGAUUGUUUGGGAAUGCAGUCCAAAAUGGGUGGUAAAUUUCAUCUAAAGCUAAAUAUUGGCGAGAGACCGAUAGCGUACAAGUACCGUGAGGGAAAGAUGAAAAGAACUUUGAAAAGAGAGUUAAACAGUACGUGAAAUUGUCAAAAGGGAAGCGCUUUGACACCAGUGUUGUUUUUCUGAAAAUCAAUUAAAGAACUGUUUAUGCUAAGCUGUUUAGACUUUAUCAGCUAACUGUUUAGUUUUGAGCUUUUCUUUAAUGCACUUUUCAGUUAACAAGUCAACAUCAAUUUCUUUUGCUGUAAAAAAGCUUGAGGAAGGUGGCUUGAGAUUCGUCUUAAGUGUUUAUAGCCUCUUGCCUAUGCAGUCGGAGAGAUUGAGGUCUGCAGCGUAGAUCCUUCGGGGCUAAAUGCAUUUGUGCUAAGUUAUAGCAUUUUAUAGACAACUUGUUGACUAUGAUUUGUCUUGUAGCUUACUCGCUUAUGUUAUUUUACCUACGCUUAGGAUGUUGAUCUGUAGUGCGUGCGC